rnacentral:rRNA from 1 species
GACGAACGCCGGCGGCGUGCUUAACACAUGCAAGUCGAGCGGUAAGGCCCUUCGGGGUACACGAGCGGCGAACGGGUGAGUAACACGUGGGUGACCUGCCCCCUACUCUGGGAUAAGCCUGGGAAACUGGGUCUAAUACCGGAUAUGACCACAUGUUGCAUGGUGUGUGGUGGAAAGUUUUUUUCGGUGGGGGAUGGGCCCGCGGCCUAUCAGCUUGUUGGUGGGGGGAUGGCCUACCAAGGCGACGACGGGUAGCCGGCCUGAGAGGGCGACCGGCCACACUGGGACUGAGACACGGCCCAGACUCCUACGGGAGGCAGCAGUGGGGAAUAUUGCGCAAUGGGCGGAAGCCUGACGCAGCGACGCCGCGUGGGGGAUGACGGCCUUCGGGUUGUAAACCUCUUUCGGCCCCGACGAAGCGUGAGUGACGGUAGGGGUAGAAGAAGCACCGGCCAACUACGUGCCAGCAGCCGCAGUAAAAC